UGUGCGCGAGUCAAUGGGUCUCGAAUAAGCCCAGCGGCGAAAUGAAAGUAAAGGCCGGAGGACCGCCGGCCGCCUCGGGAUCCCUGCUCCUUCGCGGGCGGGGCGCACCGAAGACCCGUCGCGUUCCACUUGUGGUUGUGGCGGAGUCCGAGCGCACACGCUAUGACCCGAAAGAUGGUGAACUAUGCCCGGACAGGACGAGGCCAGAGGAAACUCUGGUGGAGGUCCGUAGCGGUUCUGACGUGCAAAUCGAUCGUCAGAUCUGGGUCUAGCGGCGUAAGACUAAUCGAACCAUCUA
rnacentral:rRNA from 1 species